AUUGAACGCUGGCGGCAGGCCUAACACAUGCAAGUCGAACGAGUGGCGGACGGGUGAGGAAUGUCUGGGAAACUGCCCGUUGGAGGGGGAUAACUACUGGAAACGGUAGCUAAUACCGCAUACCAUCGGAUGUGCCCAGUUGGGAUUAGCUUGUCGGUGAGGUAACGGCGCACCUAGGCGACGAACCCUAGCCGGUCUGAGAGGAUGACCAGCCACACUGGAACUGAGACACGGUCCAGACUCCUACGGGAGGCAGCAGUGGGGAAUAUUGCGCAAUGGGCGAAAGCCUGAUGCAGCCAUGCCGCGUGUAUGAAGAAGGUCUUCGGGUUGUAAAGUACUUUCAGCGGGGAGGCGUUACCCGCAGAAGAAGCACCGGCUAACUCCGUGCCAGCAGCCGCGGUAAUUC
rnacentral:rRNA from 1 species